GACAGAGGAGGCAAGCGUUGUUCGGAAUCACUGGGCUUAAAGCGCGUGUAGGCGGCUUGGCAAGUGUCGUGUGAAAUCCCCCGGCUCAACCGGGGAACUGCACGGCAAACUGCCCGGCUUGAGGUCGGUAGAGGUGCCUGGAACUCUCGGUGGAGCGGUGAAAUGCGUAGAUAUCGAGAGGAACGCCAGAGGCGAAAGCGGGGCACUGGGCCGAUUCUGACGCUGAGACGCGAAAGCGUGGGGAGCAAAC
rnacentral:rRNA from 1 species